GCUUUUGGAGGAUGGCUUUGCUUUUAGAGAUCUUUCCCUCUGGGAGACUGGGUGCUGCUCCAGGGGUGGUGGCAGGCAGGCAGAUGGGUAGAUGGACAUCCUUUUUCUCAGUCCAUCCCUCCUAGUUUUUUGUGCUUCAGGCAGAAAACCCCACCCAUGGUUCUGUCUGAAGCAUACCUCUGCAUCCUGGAACUUUGCUCUUUUCCUUAUUGAGUCUACUGCCCUGUGUUUCCUCCUUCCUUUAGGGCCACGGCCAAAACCUGCCGUGGAUUUCCCAGAAUAACUCCUGCUUUUAGUCCCAUCAUCUCCUGGAACAUUUCCUCAAACCAAAGCCAAGCUCACUGUCCCCGUGCCAAGCCGAGCUGCUGCAAGGGCAGCUGUGAGAGGCUCUUGUGUAUGAAGAUGCUUUCUGUUCCCACAGCCAGUGCUGAGGUCAGGGUGUUUAUGAGAGUUAUGAAUGGAAGGAGAAGCUACUGUGCUGAGCCAAACCCCAUUGCUCUGCCUGGUGGAGACAACAGUGAUGUUACCAACCAGAUACUUCGGCUGAUGGCUGGUGUAACUGAGCUUGUGGUGCUCUGCAGGAUGCUGACAUCUGGAUCACAAGGAGGUCAACCACAUCAUCACCAGGAC
rnacentral:lncRNA from 1 species